rnacentral:rRNA from 1 species
GAAUUAAAAUUUUUAUUUAAAAUAUUAGUAAAUAUUUUUAUUUAAAAAAAAAAAUUUAUUUUUUAUUAUUAUUAAGAAAAAAUUUAUUUCAUUAUAGUUAAAUAGUAUUGUGAAAGAAAAAGUUAAAAUUAUUAUAAGAAAAAUUUAAUUUUUGUACCUUGUGUAUCAGGGUUAAUUAAUUUAAAAUUUUUGUAUAAAAAUUUCUCGAAUUUAAAAGAGUUAAUUAUUUAUUUAUUUAAUUGUGAAAUAAAUUUUUAUAAUAAAUAAUUAGUAAUGAAACGUUAUUCGUUUUUAAAUAUAUCUAGUUUUUAAAGAAAAAAAUUGAAUUUUUUUAUUAAUAUUUAAAAUUUUAAAUUUUUAAUUUUUUAUUAUUAAUAUUAAAUUUUAUUAGGGAUAAGCUUAAUAAAAAAUAUUUAUAAUUUAUUUAAAUAUAAAAAUAAUUUAUAGAAUUAAAAUUUUUUAUAAAUAAAAUAAUGUUAUAAUUAAUUAUAUUUUUUUUAUAUUUUUAUAUAAUUUAAAUUUUUUAUUUAAAUAUAAAUUUUAAUUAUUAAAAUUUAGUAAUUAUGAUUAAAUUAGUAUAAAAUAAUGUAUAUAUAUAUAUUAAUCAAAGGUUUAUUUAAGGAACUCGGCAAAUAAAUUUUUCACCUGUUUAAUAAAAACAUGUCUUUUUGAUUAUAAUUUAAAGUCUAAUCUGCCCACUGAGUUAUUAAAUGGCCGCGGUAUUCUAACCGUGCAAAGGUAGCAUAAUAAUUAGUUUUUUAAUUGAAAGCUGGAAUGAAUGAUUGAAUGAGAAAAUAACUGUCUCAAUUAAAUUUUAUUAGAAUUUUAUUUUUAAGUAAAAAAGCUUAAAUUAUAUUAAAAGACGAGAAGACCCUAUAGAGUUUAAUAAAUUUUAUAUUUAAAUUUUUAGUUUUUAGUAUUUAUAUUAUAAAUUAUUUAUUUUGUUGGGGUGAUGAAAAAAUUUAUAGAACUUUUUUU